rnacentral:rRNA from 1 species
GAUGAACGCUGGCGGCGUGCCUAAUACAUGCAAGUCGAGCGAACGGACGAGAAGCUUGCUUCUCUGAUGUUAGCGGCGGACGGGUGAGUAACACGUGUAUAACCUACCUAUAAGACUGGGAUAACUUCGGGAAACCGGAGCUAAUACCGGAUAAUAUUUUGAACCGCAUGGUUCAAUAGUGAAAGACGGUCUUGCUGUCACUUAUAGAUGGAUCCGGGCUGCAUUAGCUAGUUGGUAAGGUAACGGCUUACCAAGGCGACGAUGCAUAGCCGACCUGAGAGAGUGAUCGGCCACACUGGAACUGAGACACGGUCCAGACUCCUACGGGAGGCAGCAGUAGGGAAUCUUCCGCAAUGGGCGAAAGCCUGACGGAGCAACGCCGCGUGAGUGAUGAAGGUCUUCGGAUCGUAAAACUCUGUUAUUAGGGAAGAACAGAUGUGUAAGUAACUGUGCACAGCUUGACGGUACCUAAUCAGAAAGCCACGGCUAACUACGUG